rnacentral:lncRNA from 1 species
GAGAGUUGAUUUUCAGUGCUACAGUGCUCGAGUCGACUCCGAGAUCGACUCCGAGACUGCAGGUCGACUCCAGGACUGCAAACAGACAAAAAACAGAGAGUUGAUUUUCAGUGCUACAGUGCUCGAGUCGACUCCUACUUUAGCCGAGUUGACUCUAACACGCUGGGAGGCAUAACGGCUAGUUUUUUCUCAACUCCAACGGCUCUAUUUUUGUCUCUAACGGCUAGAUCUUUGUUCCCACGCCAUCCAAAGCUAUAAAAUCAAGGGGAGAGCUAGGGAAGAAGUUAAGGAAGUCGGAGAGAACACAUAGGGAAGAGAUUUCAAAGAGAUUUCAAGAGAAACCUCCCAAAAGCACAAAAGGGCCAUUCAAAGCAAAAGAGAGAGAAGAAGAGCAUC